rnacentral:rRNA from 1 species
AUGGAGGAGCAACCCCACGCUGCCGAUUCCUCCUCCUCCGCCAGCCAGACGAACUGGCGGAAGGAGGUGGAUGAGCUGCUUCGGCGGAUGCACUCCCUCCUCUUCGGCGCCGACGCCGCGCUCGAGCGCGGGGAUGCGGCGGCGGCGCAGGUUCUCGUGCUCCGCCUCCUCGGCUUCCUCGAUUCCCAGACCCUCUCCGCCUACACGGGUCCUGAAGCCGCCUUCGUCGCGCCCAUCCGCGCCGCAGCCUCUUCCCGUCUCGCCGCUGCCUCCCGCGCUGGCGCCUCCGUCUCGGACCGUGCAGCGUUUGAGCUCGCAAAAAAGAAUGCUGGUUGUGUUUUUCCAAAGCAAGGAGACGUUAGCAUUGAAAAGAUGAAGUGUUCAAAGUAUUUUCAGGCUUUUCAUGAGAAAUCCAAAGGAAAUGUUGCUGAUCAACAGAACUCAGCUUGCGAGAAGUUCACGAUUCAAGGGGGUCCACAUAUUGAGGAAAGCCCAGCUGGCAUAGACAAUGAGAAGCUUAGCAUCGGGGCUUCAAAAUUGAUGGCACAAUCAAAAAUAACAUCAUUGUACGGUAACAAGUUCUUGAAGGCAAAUAGUGUGUCAGACAAGAAUAUGUUCAAAUCAGAGGGGAACAUGUCUAAAGAGUUUGCUUGUGUUGAGAAUGAGAUCAGAACAAAUCAAAAUGAUAACACACAUCCUGCUUAUCUGGGGGUUGAAGAGGAUAAGAAACAUUGUGGGCCAUUGCAGACUUCAAAACGAAAGCAUACAGGGUUCAGAAGUCCUAUAUGUGAACAUGUGAAUUCUCCAUUAAGCCAAGAUGAAGCUGAUGCUCCUGCCAAUGGGUUUGUGACUGCUAGGAUAAAGUUGGCGAUGGACACUGUGCAAAAGCAUGGGCAUAAUGGUCACCAAGGUGCUUCUGUAUCUCCGCAAUGUGAUAACAACCUUAGUACACGGAAUUAUGGUGUGAGGCCAAGCUGGAAUUCUCGUCGUGGACCACGUGGUAAUUUUGUCCCCCCUAUCCGAAACAAUGGAGGAUCUGCUUGCAACGCAAUCAACUCACGAGGAGUUGCUGGAAAAAAUGAUGAUUCCAUGGAAGAUUCAAUAAAGAAAUGCUUAGAAAUGCUUUGUGGCCCUGAUGGUGAGCUUCCUGAGAAGUUGAGGAAUUUGGAACCUCGCCUUAUUGAGCAUGUUAGUAACGAAAUAAUGGAUAAAGACCCUAAUGUUCGCUGGGAUGACAUAGCUGGUUUGGAUCAUGCAAAGAAGUGUGUGACAGAGAUGGUUAUUUGGCCCCUACUGCGUCCAGACAUCUUUCGUGGUUGUCGGUCUCCUGGAAGAGGACUACUACUAUUUGGACCUCCUGGAACAGGCAAAACCAUGAUUGGAAAAGCAAUUGCUGGUGAGGCUAAGGCAACAUUUUUCUACAUAUCUGCAAGUUCACUCACGAGCAAAUGGAUUGGCGAGGGCGAAAAGCUAGUCCGGGCACUAUUUGGUGUAGCCUCUUGUCGUCAGCCCGCUGUCAUAUUUGUGGAUGAGAUUGAUUCACUACUAUCUCAGCGCAAAUCAGAUGGUGAACAUGAAUCAAGUAGGAGGUUAAAAACACAGUUUCUAAUUGAGAUGGAAGGUUUUGACAGUGGAAACGAGCAAAUUUUACUUAUAGGAGCAACAAACAGACCUCAAGAAUUAGAUGAAGCAGCACGCAGGCGACUGACAAAGCGUCUAUACAUCCCCCUUCCUUCAUCAGAAGCACGUACUUGGAUAAUUCGCAAUCUAUUGGAAAAGGAUGGCCUUUUCAAGCUCUCAGAGAAAGAAACAGGUGUCAUCUGCAAGUUAACAGAAGGUUACUCGGGAUCUGAUAUGAAAAAUCUUGUGAAAGAUGCCUCAAUGGGGCCACUGAGAGAAGCUCUCCAACAGGGUGUGGAAAUCACAAAGCUCAACAAGGAGGAAGUGCGUCCGGUGAUGCUCAAGGACUUUGAGGCUGCUCUGCAGGAGGUCAGACCUUCUGUUUCCACAAGCGAAUUGGGGAUUUAUGAAGAAUGGAACAUGCAGUUUGGCAGCCUAUCAAUCUAA